ACACACCGCCCGUCGCUACUACCGAUUGAAUGGCUCAGUGAGGCGUUCGGACUGGCCCAGGGAGGUCGGCAACGACCACCCAGGGCCGGAAAGUUCGUCAAACUUGGUCAUUUAGAGGAAGUAAAAGUCGUAACAAGGUCUCCGUAGGUGAACCUGCGGAGGGAUCAUU
rnacentral:rRNA from 1 species